rnacentral:lncRNA from 1 species
ACUGAGGCUAUCUAAACUUCACCUAGAAUCCAUCAAACCAUCCUUGAAAUGGAUCGAGGCUUCCAUAGGACUGUCAGUGGGAACUGAGUGCAAAUCUGGAGAAUUAGAAGCAUGGAAAGAACAUGAAUGUGGAAUUUGGGGAUUAGUGAGGGUAAGGGUGACAACCAAGAUCAUCACCUCAACAUGCAAGAUUCUUUGUAGAAGAGGAACACUGCUGUAAAUCACCUUCCAGCUAAACAAAGUGCUGAUCAUUCUCUCGCUUUAAUCAACAUCACGUCCACAGUGCUCACGUGGGCAUUGGCAAGAAACAAACGAUCAGAGCAGCGUUGGAAGGGAUGUAAUCAGCAGCCUCUGAAGCAUAGUAAUGAAUUUUAAUCUGUUACAGAUUAACAGGUUUCUGUAAAACCACAGAAACUUGUUCUCUCCUCCAUCCUCUCUUUACCCAGAAAAGUUUUAAUGGGGGAGUUCUCAUUAACAUUCACAAAUAGAAGGAUUAUACACCUUUGCUGGA